GAUGAACGCUGGCGGCGUGCUUAAUACAUGCUAGUCGAACGAAGCACUUUUGACAGAUCCCCUCGGGGUGAAGAUGAUUGUGACUUAGUGGCGGACGGGUGAGUAACGCGUGGGGAACCUGCCUCGUGCUGGGGGAUAACAGUUAGAAAUGACUGCUAAUACCGCAUAAGCGCACAGUAAGGCAUCUUACAGUGUGAAAAGAUUUAUCGGCAUGAGAUGGACCCGCGUCUGAUUAGGUAGUUGGCGGGGUAACGGCCCACCAAGCCCGCGAGCAGUAGCCGACUUGAGAGAGUGAUCGGCCACAUUGGGACUGAGACACGGCCCAGACUCCUACGGGAGGCAGCAGUAGGGAAUAUUGCACAAUGGGGGAAACCCUGAUGCAGCGACGCCGCGUGAGUGAUGAAGUAUUUCGGUACGUAAAACUCUAUCAGCAGGGAAGAUAAUGACGGUACCUGACUAAGAAGCCCCGGCUAACUACGUGCCAGCAGCCGCGGUAAUAC
rnacentral:rRNA from 1 species